AGAACGAACGCUGGCGGCAUGCCUAACACAUGCAAGUCGAACGAGACCUUCGGGUCUAGUGGCGCACGGGUGCGUAACGCGUGGGAAUCUGCCCUUCGGUUCGGAAUAACAGUUAGAAAUGACUGUUAAUACCGGAUGAUGUCUUCGGACCAAAGAUUUAUCGCCGAGGGAUGAGCCCGCGUAGGAUUAGCUAGUUGGUGAGGUAAAAGCUCACCAAGGCGACGAUCCUUAGCUGGUCUGAGAGGAUGAUCAGCCACACUGGGACUGAGACACGGCCCAGACUCCUACGGGAGGCAGCAGUGGGGAAUAUUGGACAAUGGGCGAAAGCCUGAUCCAGCAAUGCCGCGUGAGUGAUGAAGGCCUUAGGGUUGUAAAGCUCUUUUACCCGGGAUGAUAAUGACAGUACCGGAGAAGUAAGCCCCGGCUAACUCCGUGCCAGCAGCCGC
rnacentral:rRNA from 1 species